GGGUGGUUAGCUCAGCUGGUUAGAGCGCCGGCCUUACAAGCCGGAGGUCACUGGUUCGAUCCCAGUACCACCCA
rnacentral:tRNA from 1 species